rnacentral:rRNA from 1 species
GAUGAACGCUGGCGGCGUGCUUAACACAUGCAAGUCGAACGAGGUCCAACCUUCGGGUGAAGACCUAGUGGCGAACGGGUGAGUAACACGUGGGGAACCUGCCCUUCUCUCUGGGAUAACGUCGAGAAGUCGGUGCUAAUACCGGAUACUCCUUGCGGAUCGCAUGGUCUGCUCGGGAAAGCUCCGGCGGAGAAGGAUGGCCCCGCGGCCCAUUAGCUAGUUGGUGAGGUAAUGGCCCACCAAGGCGACGAUGGGUAGCCGAGCUGAGAGGCUGAUCGGCCACACUGGAACUGAGACACGGCCCAGACUCCUACGGGAGGCAGCAGUGGGGAAUUUUGCACAAUGGGCGAAAGCCUGAUGCAGCAACGCCGCGUGCGGGAUGAAGGCCCUCGGGUCGUAAACCGCUUUCAGCAGGGAUGAAAUUGACAGUACCUGCAGAAGAAGCCCCGGCUAACUACGUGCCAGCAGCCGCGGUAAAAC